UCNUCUGGCUUAACUGGGGGCUUGCGGUGGGUACGGGCCGGCUUGAGUGCGGUAGGGGAGACUGGAACUCCUGGUGUAGCGGUGGAAUGCGCAGAUAUCAGGAAGAACACCGGUGGCGAAGGCGGGCCUNUGGGCCGUUACUGACGCUGAGGAGCGAAAGCGUGGGGAGCGAACAGGAUUAGAUACCCUGGUAGUCCACGCCGUAAACGUUGGGCACUAGGUGUGGGGGGCCUUUUCCGGGUCUUCUGCGCCGUAGCUAACGCAUUAAGUGCCCCGCCUGGGGAGUACGGCCGCAAGGCUAAAACUCAAAGGAAUUGACGGGGGCCCGCACAAGCGGCGGAGCAUGCGGAUUAAUUCGAUGCAACGCGAAGAACCUUACCAAGGCUUGACAUGUGCCGGUCGGCUCCGGAGACGGGGCUUCCUCCUUGUGGGGCCGGUUCACAGGUGGUGCAUGGUUGUCGUCAGCUCGUGUCGUGAGAUGUUGGGUUGAGUCCCGCAACGAGCGCAACCCUUGUCCCGUGUUGCCAGCACGUUGUGGUGGGGACUCGCGGGAGACUGCCGGGGUCAACUCGGAGGAAGGUGGGGAUGACGUCAAAUCAUCAUGCCCCUUAUGUCUUGGGCUUCACGCAUGCUACAAUGGCCGGUACAGAGGGCUGCGAUACCGUGAGGUGGAGCGAAUCCCUUAAAGCCGGUCUCAGUUCGGAUCGGUGUCUGCAACUCGACACCGUGAAGUUGGAGUCGCUAGUAAUCGCAGAUCAGCAACGCUGCGGUGAAUACGUUCUCGGGCCUUGUACACACCGCCCGUCACGUCAUGAAAGUCGGCAACACCCGAAGCCCGUGGCC
rnacentral:rRNA from 1 species